CUCUGCAUAGUUUUCAUUUCAGCUCAAAGUUCAUUUAAAUCAGACCCAGCCUUGGGCAUCUGAGCUAUAAAAACUUCUUCAUUUGUGACCUCACAGAUUUUUGAAGAGAUGAAAAAAUUAUUUGAGCCUCAACUUGGCCAUGCUAAUUGCCUGCCUUUAACAGGCAACUAUCUGUAGUCCUGAGUCAAGCACCUGCUUGAAUGAGACAAUU